UCAGAACGACUCUCGGCAACGGAUAUCUCGGCUCUCGCAUCGAUGAAGAACGUAGCAAAACGCGAUAUUUGGUGUGAAUUGCAGAAUCCCGUGAAMCAUCGAGUUUUUGAACGCAAGUUGCGCCCGAAGCCAUUAAGGCGAGGGCACGUCUGCAUGGGCGUCAC
rnacentral:rRNA from 1 species